rnacentral:rRNA from 1 species
CGGUGAAGUAGGUGAACAAGCUGGAAAGCUUGGCGAUACAGGGUGAUAGCCCCGUAACCGACGCUUCAUCGAGCGUGAAAUCGAGUAGGGCGGGACACGUGAUAUCCUGUCUGAAUAUGGGGGGACCAUCCUCCAAGGCUAAAUACUCCUGACUGACCGAUAGUGAACCAGUACCGUGAGGGAAAGGCGAAAAGAACCCCUGUGAGGGGAGUGAAAUAGAACCUGAAACCGUGUACGUACAAGCAGUAGGAGCACCUUCGUGGUGUGACUGCGUACCUUUUGUAUAAUGGGUCAGCGACUUAUAUUCAGUGGCAAGGUUAACCGUAUAGGGGAGCCGUAGCGAAAGCGAGUCUUAACUGGGCGCUCAGUCUCUGGAUAUAGACCCGAAACCGGGUGAUCUAGCCAUGGGCAGGUUGAAGGUUGAGUAACAUCAACUGGAGGACCGAACCGACUAAUGUUGAAAAAUUAGCGGAUGACUUGUGGCUAGGGGUGAAAGGCCAAUCAAACUCGGAGAUAGCUGGUUCUCCCCGAAAGCUAUUUAGGUAGCGCCUCGGACGAAUACUACUGGGGGUAGAGCACUGUUAAGGCUAGGGGGUCAUCCCGACUUACCAACCCUUUGCAAACUCCGAAUACCAGUAAGUACUAUCCGGGAGACACACGGCGGGUGCUAACGUCCGUCGUGGAGAGGGAAACAACCCAGACCGCCAGCUAAGGUCCCAAAGUAUUGCUAAGUGGGAAACGAUGUGGGAAGGCUCAGACAGCUAGGAUGUUGGCUUAGAAGCAGCCAUCAUUUAAAGAAAGCGUAAUAGCUCACUAGUCGAGUCGGCCUGCGCGGAAGAUGUAACGGGGCUAAGCAAUACACCGAAGCUGCGGCAAUGUCUUUUAGACAUUGGGUAGGGGAGCGUUCUGUAAGCCGUUGAAGGUGAAUCGUAAGGUUUGCUGGAGGUAUCAGAAGUGCGAAUGCUGACAUGAGUAACGACAAAGGGGGUGAAAAACCUCCUCGCCGGAAGACCAAGGGUUCCUGUCCAACGUUAAUCGGGGCAGGGUGAGUCGACCCCUAAGGUGAGGCCGAAAGGCGUAAUCGAUGGGAAACGGGUUAAUAUUCCCGUACUUCUGACUAUUGCGAUGGGGGGACGGAGAAGGCUAGGUGGGCCAGGCGACGGUUGUCCUGGUUCAAGUGCGUAGGCUUGAGAGUUAGGUAAAUCCGGCUCUCUCUAAGGCUGAGACACGACGUCGAGCUACUACGGUAGUGAAGUCAUUGAUGCCAUGCUUCCAGGAAAAGCCUCUAAGCUUCAGAUAGUCAGGAAUCGUACCCCAAACCGACACAGGUGGUCGGGUAGAGAAUACCAAGGCGCUUGAGAGAACUCGGGUGAAGGAACUAGGCAAAAUGGUACCGUAACUUCGGGAGAAGGUACGCUCUUGAUGGUGAAGUCCCUCGCGGAUGGAGCUGACGAGAGUCGCAGAUACCAGGUGGCUGCAACUGUUUAUUAAAAACACAGCACUGUGCAAAAUCGCAAGAUGACGUAUACGGUGUGACGCCUGCCCGGUGCCGGAAGGUUAAUUGAUGGGGUUAGCGCAAGCGAAGCUCUUGAUCGAAGCCCCGGUAAACGGCGGCCGUAACUAUAACGGUCCUAAGGUAGCGAAAUUCCUUGUCGGGUAAGUUCCGACCUGCACGAAUGGCGUAAUGAUGGCCACGCUGUCUCCACCCGAGACUCAGUGAAAUUGAAAUCGCUGUGAAGAUGCAGUGUACCCGCGGCUAGACGGAAAGACCCCGUGAACCUUUACUACAGCUUGGCACUGAACAUUGAACCUACAUGUGUAGGAUAGGUGGGAGGCUAUGAAGACGUGACGCCAGUUGCGUUGGAGCCGUCCUUGAAAUACCACCCUUGUAUGUUUGAUGUUCUAACUUAGACCCAUUAUCUGGGUUGAGGACAGUGCCUGGUGGGUAGUUUGACUGGGGCGGUCUCCUCCCAAAGAGUAACGGAGGAGCACGAAGGUGGGCUAAUCACGGUUGGACAUCGUGAGGUUAGUGCAAUGGCAUAAGCCCGCUUAACUGCGAGAAUGACGGUUCGAGCAGGUGCGAAAGCAGGUCAUAGUGAUCCGGUGGUUCUGUAUGGAAGGGCCAUCGCUCAACGGAUAAAAGGUACUCCGGGGAUAACAGGCUGAUACCGCCCAAGAGUUCAUAUCGACGGCGGUGUUUGGCACCUCGAUGUCGGCUCAUCACAUCCUGGGGCUGAAGUCGGUCCCAAGGGUAUGGCUGUUCGCCAUUUAAAGUGGUACGCGAGCUGGGUUUAGAACGUCGUGAGACAGUUCGGUCCCUAUCUGCCGUGGGCGUUGGAAGAUUGAAGGGGGCUGCUCCUAGUACGAGAGGACCGGAGUGGACGAACCUCUGGUGUUCGGGUUGUGUCGCCAGACGCAUUGCCCGGUAGCUAAGUUCGGAAUUGAUAAGCGCUGAAAGCAUCUAAGCGCGAAGCGAGCCCUGAGAUGAGUCUUCCCUGACAGUUUAACUGUCCUAAAGGGUUGUUCGAGACUAGAACGUUGAUAGGCAGGGUGUGUAAGCGUUGUGAGGCGUUGAGCUAACCUGUACUAAUUGCCCGUGAGGCUUAACCAU